CUUCACCUUUCUCUCCUCCGCCUUGUACGACUCCAUACGAAGCCGAGCCCCUUUCUCACCUUCGAACGGUCGACGACCUUCGAACGAUCGACGCCAUCUCGAUCGCUGUGUUCCUCCUUUGCCAGGGACUACCUCUUCUGGAAAGGUCACGGUAGCGAUGGACGGGGCUCCCACCGGCAGCGCUGGAGCGAUCCUGGGCAAUUACAGACUCGGAAGGACUCUCGGCGUCGGCUCCUUCGCGAAGGUGAAACAGGCC